rnacentral:rRNA from 1 species
GACGAACGCUGGCGGCGUGCCUAAUACAUGCAAGUCGAGCGAAGUUUUUCUGGUGCUUGCACUAGAAAAACUUAGCGGCGAACGGGUGAGUAACACGUAAAGAACCUGCCUCAUAGACUGGGACAACUAUUGGAAACGAUAGCUAAUACCGGAUAACAGUAUUUCUCGCAUGAGAGAUAUUUAAAAGUUGGUUAUGCUGACACUAUGAGAUGGCUUUGCGGUGCAUUAGCUAGUUGGUGGGGUAAAGGCCUACCAAGGCGACGAUGCAUAGCCGACCUGAGAGGGUGAUCGGCCACACUGGGACUGAGACACGGCCCAGACUCCUACGGGAGGCAGCAGUAGGGAAUCUUCCGCAAUGGGCGAAAGCCUGACGGAGCAACGCCGCGUGAGUGAAGAAGGAUUUCGGUUCGUAAAGCUCUGUUGUUAGGGAAGAAUGGAUAUGUAGUAACUAUACAUAUAAGAGACGGUACCUAACCAGAAAGCCACGGCUAACUACGUGCCAGCAGCCGCGGUAAUACGUAGGUGGCAAGCGUUGUCCGGAAUUAUUGGGCGUAAAGCGCGCGCAGGUGGUUUAAUAAGUCUGAUGUGAAAGCCCACGGCUCAACCGUGGAGGGUCAUUGGAAACUGUUAAACUUGAGUGCAGGAGAGAAAAGUGGAAUUCCUAGUGUAGCGGUGAAAUGCGUAGAGAUUAGGAGGAACACCAGUGGCGAAGGCGGCUUUUUGGCCUGUAACUGACACUGAGGCGCGAAAGCGUGGGGAGCAAACAGG